rnacentral:tRNA from 1 species
GCGCCCUUAGCUCAGUUGGUAGAGCAGCUGACUCUUAAUCAGCGGGUCGUAGGUUCGAACCCUACAGGGCGCACCA